rnacentral:rRNA from 1 species
UACGUAGGGUGCGAGCGUUGUCCGGAAUUAUUGGGCGUAAAGAGCUUGUAGGCGGUUUGUCGCGUCUGCCGUGAAAGCCCAGGGCUUAACCCUGGGUCUGCGGUGGGUACGGGCAGACUAGAGUGUGGUAGGGGAGACUGGGAUUCCUGGUGUAGCGGUGAAAUGCGCAGAUAUCAGGAGGAACACCGAUGGCGAAGGCAGGUCUCUGGGCCACUACUGACGCUGAGAAGCGAAAGCAUGAGGAGCAAACAGG